rnacentral:rRNA from 1 species
GACGAACGCUGGCGGCGUGCCUAAUACAUGCAAGUCGAACGAGUGGCGGACGGGUGAGUAAUGUAUGGGGAUCUGCCCGAUAGAGGGGGAUAACUACUGGAAACGGUGGCUAAUACCGCAUACUAUCGGUUGAACCCAUAUGGGAUUAGCUAGUAGGUGGGGUAAAGGCUCACCUAGGGGACGAUCUCUAGCUGGUCUGAGAGGAUGAUCAGCCACACUGGGACUGGGACACGGCCCAGACUCCUACGGGGGGCAGCAGUGGGGGAUAUUGCACAAUGGGCGAAAGCCUGAUGCAGCGACGCCGCGUGGGGGAUGAAGGCUUUCGGGUUGUAAACCUCUUUCGCUAUCGAACGGGUAGGUAGAGAAGAAGCGCCGGCUAACUACGUGCCAGCAGCCGCGGUAAUAC